rnacentral:tRNA from 1 species
UUAAUUGAAACCAAAAAGAGGUAUAUUAUUGUUAAUAAUAAAAUUGAAUUUAAAAUUCCAAUUAAA